rnacentral:rRNA from 1 species
UACGAAGGGAGCUAGCGUUGUUCGGAAUCACUGGGCGUAAAGCGCACGUAGGCGGAUUUGUCAGUCAGGGGUGAAAUCCCGGGGCUCAACCUCGGAACUGCCUUUGAUACAGCAAGUCUUGAGUUCGAGAGAGGUGGGUGGAAUUCCUAGUGUAGAGGUGAAAUUCGUAGAUAUCAGGAGGAAUACCGGUGCGGAAGGCGAACUCUCUGGACGGCAACUGACGCUGAGGCACGGAAAGCGUGGGGAGCAAACAGGG